AGCAGCUGGUAUGCUUGAAGAAUGUGUUGAAAAGGUUGGAAAACUCAGCCUUCAGUGCUUCUAGUUGGAAAAGAGCCAGCUGCCACUUAGAAAGAGAGAAGACGCCAUAGGGGAACAGCUCAUAGAGCUGAGAAGACUUCAGAUUGAGAGACAGCAUGUCGAUAUAUGCUACACAUCAGCCAGAAGGAAUCGAGCAUCCUUUGACCUCAAAGAGGUGGUGACCAAGCAGGGACAGGAUUCCCAUAUCUUCAUGUAGUUCAUCACACAGGAGUUUGCAGCCCCUUUGACACAGCUAGAAGAAGGGAAUGCCUAAUCCAUGUCACACCUCCAGCUCAUACCAGGGCAUGUGGGCCUGAAUUGUCAACAAACUUAAAUGCGUAACCUGGGUGUCACAGGCAAAGAGAAAAGUUUCAGGUGUUCAAGGAUGCAACCAUGGAAUAAUGGGCAAAUCUUCAUCUUUGUCAUGGAUAAGCUCUGAAGCUAUUGUCAAUUAGAGACCACAAGAUAUCAGCAUGUGUCCAGGCUGUACAGUGCUGAGAGUGACCUGGUUUGGGUACCAGACUUCUACAUCUAGCUCUGCCAGGUCUCCAGAUGAAAGGCUGAGCCGUCUUCCAGAUCUGUGCCAGAUCAACCCUAGAGCCUUCUACUAAUGGACAGCAAUGCAGUGCUGGUAGCUCUGUCACUCACCAUGUCCAGGUUGCCAAUGGAGGAGGCCUAAUUAGAUGCAUUUCCCUGAGGAAAUUUCACCAUUCCAGAG
ensembl:lncRNA